rnacentral:rRNA from 1 species
AUUGAACGCUGGCGGCAGGCUUAACACAUGCAAGUCGAGCGGGGGAAGGUAGCUUGCUACCGGACCUAGCGGCGGACGGGUGAGUAAUGCUUAGGAAUCUGCCUAUUAGUGGGGGACAACAUCUCGAAAGGGAUGCUAAUACCGCAUACGUCCUACGGGAGAAAGCAGGGGAUCUUCGGACCUUGCGCUAAUAGAUGAGCCUAAGUCGGAUUAGCUAGUUGGUGGGGUAAAGGCCUACCAAGGCGACGAUCUGUAGCUGGUCUGAGAGGAUGAUCCGCCACACUGGGACUGAGACACGGCCCAGACUCCUACGGGAGGCAGCAGUGGGGAAUAUUUGACAAUGGGGGGAACCCUGAUCCAGCCAUGCCGCGUGUGUGAAGAAGGCCUUAUGGUUGUAAAGCACUUUAAGCGAGGAGGAGGCUACUCUAGUUAAUACCUAGGGAUAGUGGACGUUACUCGCAGAAUAAGCACCGGCUAACUCUGUGCCAGCCGCCGCAGUAA